GAUGAACGCUAGCUACAGGCUUAACACAUGCAAGUCGAGGGACGGGCGCACGGGUGAGUGACACGUAUCCAACCUGCCCUUUACUCGGGCAUAGCCUUUCGAAAAAAAGAUUAAUACCCGAUAUAAAGGAUCGGGAUGCGUUCCAUUGGGUUGUUGGUGAGGUAACGGCUCACCAAGCAUUCGAUGGAUAGGGGUUCUGAGAGGAAGUUCCCCCACAUUGGAACUGAGACACGGUCCAAACUGCCACGGGAGGCAGCAGGGAGGAAUAUUGGUCAAUGUGCGGUAGCCUGAACCAGCCAAGUAGCGUGAAGGAUGAAGGCUUAUGGGUCGUAAACUUCUUUUAUAUAAGAAUAUGUAUUAUAUGAAUAAGGAUCGGCUAACUCCGUGCCAGCAGCCGCGGUAAUUC
rnacentral:rRNA from 1 species